GUACUGUUGAAGAGUCCCAAACUGGGGCGAAACAGUUGUCCAGUAC
rfam:Trichobilharzia regenti genome assembly, scaffold: TRE_scaffold0008676